GCAGAGCUGCCUUGCCCCAGGAAAAUGGAGAAGAAAACAAAGAAAGGAAACAGGAAGCAACUAAAAGGAAUGAGCCUAUUGAGAGUUCACAGAGUUCAGCACUGAGUUCUGCAUUAGAUUUCGACAAAGAUGGGGAAGAAGAAACAACAGAUGAAAUCAA